AAUAAAUGAUGAAGCUGAAGUAGCUGUGGGACUGCAACAUCUCUGGAAAUUUACAUAAAUUAAAGCUUUCACAAAUAUUCUCACAGGCAAACGCUACCCUGGCUGCAGGCAGCAAUGCUAAGGGAAAGAGCUUGAGAGAAGAAAAAAUCAUGGUCAGUGCUUUCCUUUUUUUUUGAAGAGUUCUCUAUAAGUUUGUAUCCUCUGUAAGAGUGAAGCACUAGAGUAACCUCUUGGAGGGCCUAAAUGAGCUCACGUUCUGAGGAUUUUUAACAGCUGGGGAAGUGCUGUGGUAAUGACAGCCAUGGGUUGGGAUGCAGCAAGAGCCAUGGUGGAGCUGAAGAGCAGCCAUACAAAUAACAAAAGCUGCCUUGUGCUUCUUAGAUUCGCUAAGGAGGCUAGCCUACAUUUGGACUGCUUUCCUGGACUUGUGAGAUAAAUGGAGAGAAGUUGGAGGUCCCAGUCCUUUAGGCAGCUAUGAAACCUUGGUACUGACUUUCCAUUUCUUCUGUAUGGUGUACAAAACUGUGUCUGUGUUCUGAAGAUUACAGAAGCUACGCUUUCUCAUGUAAUAGGCUUCCAGAACUACAAACUUCCUGCGAAGUUCUCUGCCUUUGGGAAUAUUAGUGGCUUCUUUCAUGUUUUAAAUUAAGCUUCAAGAACCCAAAUGAAAUAUUCCAGCGGCACAUCUGUACAGGCACUUUAGCCAGGCAUGGAUUGAUCUGCAAGGGAAGGCAGAGACAAACAGAACUUUAACCCUGUGCCCUCGGUGUGGGACAGAGACACAGCUGCUGGCCUCCUCCUCACGUCGUCUGGUGUGUGGGGGGGUAACAGCUGAAAAACUGAUUUAUCAAAGUAAACAAAUUUAUGAAAAUGGAAAACAGCAGUUCUGUGACAGUUUCUUAUGAAAGGAAGUGCAUGCAAACAAGUCGCGUAGUGAGUGUGUAAUAGUAAACAUGGAGUCAUGAACAUGGUCGCUGGUGUGGAAGUAGGUGGGAUUUCUACUACGCAGUGCAUAUGCAAGGAGCACAAGUCUCUCAGUGCUACAGGGCCCUCCUCUUGGCUGUGUCAACUGACUUACGGGAUUAUUUCUGUACAAGCUAUUUCUAGAUGUGGCCUGUGUCAGAGGUUUCGGCUGGCUGGAUAUCUAAGCAUCUGUUUACAAGUGUCAGGAUCGAUGGAAUGUUAUCAAGUGCUGUUAAAGGGAACUGGAAAGGACAUGUCUGCUGGUGCUUCGUAUAGGUGUUAGAGCUGUUCCGUUUCAAAAGAAAUAAAUAAAACUCACACUAGGUAAACAUCACUGCAACUGUGUUGAAGCCAUUUAAAUGGUAUUUGCAAAUGACUUGAGGGCUGAUAUCUAAAGCGUGUUGGUCUCAAGUCAAUAACGAUAUAAAAAAAACAAAACAAAACAAGCAAAAAAAAAAAAGACUACAUCACCACCACAGAGAAGAGAAACAUGCAACUGGCAUAGAAGUUGGAUUUCUAAAGCUGAUUACCCUGUUUGUUUUUUUAUAUUAUUUUUGUUCAUUUGAUCAAAAAUAUAUGAAUCCUUUAAAAAAAAAAAUAAAUCAGGAAAGAACAGAAAGUAACAUGCCUAGAUUUAAUUUUAUAUACCUGUUAUUCUGUAUGUGUUCUUCUCCAUCACUCUGUAUGUAUGUGAUCAUCUCAACUGCAUAAAGCAGAUUUUAAAAUACUUUAAAAAAAAUAUGCAUGGAGGUAGGAGGAUUGUGACAAGCCAAGUUAAAAAGUAUGAGGAAAUGUGGGAAGUAAUACAAGGACCAGGGAAACCUAAGCCACAACCACAAGGGGGAAAAUAAAAAAAAAAAAAAAAAGACCUUGUUGGCAAAGCAUAGGCUUAUGAGCAUGAUAACUCACAUAAUAGGGCUCUUUACUAUUAAAGGAUACAGCUCUGCACUGGUCCUGAAUUCCAGAGGUGAGAAAAAGUCAGACUCCGAGAAAGGAUCUGUGUAACAGUAAAAGAGCAGAAGAACAUGACUGCUAACAUUGCUAGUCCAAACACCUCAUCUGAAAAUGUCUGCUGUGGAAGCCUUUUUUUGUGAACUGUAUAGCAAAUUAUUCAAUGCAUGGGGCUAGAGAGUCAGAGAGUUUAGCUAUCCAAAGAACUGUUAGGAAUGGAAAACAUCAGGACAGAGAUUGAUUAGCAAGCUCUAAAUGGAAAAGCACUGGUCACCAUUUCUGGUGCAGUAGAAAAAACACACAGAGUAGAGGCUCUUCUAGAUGUGGUUCUUACCAGUAAAGGGUAAUUGUUUGAGAAUUUGACGAUGAAAGGCAACUUGGAGACAGUGCCUAUGAAAUUACAGAGUUCACAGUCCUCGGAAAGGAAAAUACGGAAAACAAGAAAACCAUGGACUUCAAGCAGGCAAACUUCUAUCCACUCAAGUCAGUAACAAAGUGAAAGGAAAAUGUAAAUCAGUUCUUGUGGCAGGAAGCACAAGCUAUUCCUAUCAAAGGGGAAAAGUAAUGGGAAAUAAAUUCAGGUAACUUUUAACUAACCUCAAGCUCACAACGUUGCAUGUGUAAAGUGGAAAUCAGAUCAAAUUCUAAAGCAUAUAAAAUAACAGCACGUGUAUAAAAACUAAUCAGAAAAGCAGGCACAAAACCCAUAUACAAUUACAAAAGUCUUCAAAAGUUAAGGUGCGUUAAUAAUGAGGAACAGCAAGAAAAACACUGGUUAUUUUUCCUGUCUCUCAGAGGAAAGGGUGUAAGGCGAUGACAUAUAAAUUUAUGAUCCAAAGAUGGUUGGAGUAUUUAAAACCUCUUUUGCAUGUGAGCUGCAUUCACAUGACUAGCAUAAUUAACAUUCGUGACAAAGGGUUAAGAAUUCAAUCUAAAACAGGGUAAAAAGAGAAUGAGAGGGUGUUACAAAAUGUUCUCAAGUCAGCCUGACCAGAUAGACCACAACCUGGUAUAUUUUAAGAAUUAGGUGAAGUAAUCAGAUUAUCUAUAACUUGCAAAUUCAUGAAAAAAGAAAGAAAGGGGGAGGGUGUAAAGAAGAGCUUGGAAAUAAUACCCACGCUUUCUACUGUGGAUAUAAUAAUUCAGGAAUUUAAAUUGUAGUAAGAAAAAGGGUUAGGUGUGAGGUAAAACAUUCUAAUCAUAAAUUUGUGGAGGUCUGAUAUAGGUGGCUUUGGUAGGUAGGGAGGU